AAAAUAGUAGUUGUAAUCUAAUGCACGCUAUUGGUCCAACUUUAUAGAGAAAGUCAGUCGAUACUUAUUUUUUGUUCUUUGCUAUUUAUACUUACCUUCCCUCACUUUUAUUAAUAUGUUUUUCAUUCCUUUACAAUACAACUUGUACACAAGCAUAAAGGGUAUUUGUGAAAUACAAGUUUUAUCUCAUUAAAGUCGCUUGGAACUCUAUACGCUUACGCUGGGACAUAUCUCAAGUAGAUCGUUUGGUUUGGAAUGGACUUGUCCCAUUGAAAAUAUCAUUCUAAUGCUUGGUGAUUAGUUCGCAAUCCGAUUCCCCUAGAGGUGACUCUCAAGAAAUUUGGAAUACCUUGCUGUCGGCUGCAGGAAGAAUCGUGGAGACAUCUGUUCAUUACAGGUCCAAUAGCUCUCCAGGCAUGGAUUUAUUUUCGGAGGAGAUUCGGUAUUAUUGAGUCUACAUUCUCGUCUGUCUCGUCUCUGUUACUCUCCUGGUUUUCCUCUAGCUCAGUGGGGGAGGUGAAACACAUUAGGGUGGUGGUUCCGGUGGUAGUGCUUUAGUGUCUAUGGAAAGCAAGAAAUAAUGCUCGGUUUGAGGGCACGAGAUUCGAGGUGGGUAACGUCAUUAUGAUGGUUGAACAAGUGGUCGAGCAGUUAGGCAAAGUAGGAGUGCUCUCGGCCACACACUUUAGGGGUGAUGCUGAAGAUCUAUGGGCGGAGUUAGCACCCCGCCUCAUUCGGAGAUGGCAUUAUGUUGCGGUUUCGUGGAAAUGUCCUCCGUCCCCUUUCUUUAAAUUGAAUACGGAUGUUAGUGUGGUCCAGGGGCGAGCAUCCGGGGGUGGUAUUCUUAGAGAUUCAAGUGGUCGAUUGGUAUUCGCUUUUUACAAGGAAUUCGGCGAAAAGGAGGUCCUAAAUUGCAGAGAGUUUGGCACUGCUUCAUGGUCUUCAAUUGUGUCAUGAACAGCAAAUCUAGAGGCUUCUAGUGGAAGUUGAUUCACAAGUGUUGGUUAAGUUGAUCCAUUUAGGGAGGGUGUCGAAGUGGACUUUAUGUAACAACCCGCGACAGAUACAACACUUAUUAGUCUCGUUGUCUUCUUCAGUGUCACACAUCUUUUGGGAGGCUAACUCUUGCUCUGAUAGGCUGGCAAAUUUGCGGUUGGCGUCUAACUUGUUCUGCAUGUCUCCUCAGCAACUGCCUAGUAUGGUAAGGGCAUAUGUACUGUUUGACUCUAGGGAACUCUCGUCGGUGCGUCAGCACUAUGUUAUAGAAUAGCCUUAGUAGUUGUGCACUAGAUAGCGGUGUGUUGAAAGACUCUCAGUGUAACAUUUACAUUCGGGCUAUGAAUAAAAUAUAAAGUUUUAAAAAAAGUUUUAUCUCUUUUCUCAAA
rnacentral:lncRNA from 1 species